UUUGCUGCUUAGUGAUAUUUUCCGAGGGCACUUCCCAAGAAGUCACCUUAUUCUUUGUUCGAAUUAGCAAAGAAUAACACCAAGUUAGGCCAGACAGCAUGGUUGGGAAGAUGACCACAGCUGCAUAGAUGAGCAGGACCCUGGCUCUGACCCCCAUGGUACUGCUGCCACAUCAUGAAGACAGACAAUGGCACUGUUCAUGCAGGCAGAGAACUCUUCUUUGGGGACAGGAUGCAUUGAAAGGCCAUUGUUCAUCCUUAAAAAAAGAUGAUUUGAAUACCUGGCAAUUGAUGAGACUACAAUGGACUGAUUUUUUUCCAGGAAAUGUUCUGAAAUUACAUGCUCAAAAUACAAGAUACGUCCCAUUAUGACAGUAAACUUACGUUUUCAUGUUGACUGCAUCUGAUUUGAAAGAAAAGAG